rnacentral:rRNA from 1 species
GAUGAACGCUGGCGGCGUGCCUAAUACAUGCAAGUCGAGCGAACAGACGAGGAGCUUGCUCCUCUGACGUUAGCGGCGGACGGGUGAGUAACACGUGGAUAACCUACCUAUAAGACUGGGAUAACUUCGGGAAACCGGAGCUAAUACCGGAUAAUAUAUUGAACCGCAUGGUUCAAUAGUGAAAGACGGUUUUGCUGUCACUUCUAGAUGGAUCCGCGCCGCAUUAGCUAGUUGGUAAGGUAACGGCUUACCAAGGCAACGAUGCGUAGCCGACCUGAGAGGGUGAUAGGCCACACUGGAGCUGAGACACGGUCCAGACGCCUAAGGGAGGCAGCAGUAGGGAAUCUUAGGCAAUGGGCGAAAGCUUGACGGAGCAACGGCGCGUGAGUGAUGAAGGUCUUCGGAUCGUAAAACUCUGUUAUUAGGGAAGAACAAAUGUGUAAGGAACUAUGCACGUCUUGACGGUACCUAAUCAGAAAGCCACGGCUAACUACGUG